UAGCGAUUCCGACUUCACGGAGUCGAGUUGCAGACUCCGAUCCGGACUGAGAUCGGCUUUUCGGGAUUGGCUCACUCUCGCGAGUUGGCAACCCUUUGUACCGACCAUUGUAGCACGUGUGUAGCCCUACUCGUAAGGGCCAUGAUGACUUGACGUCGUCCCCACCUUCCUCCGGUUUGUCACCGGCAGUCUCCUUAGAGUUCCCGCCAUUACGCGCUGGCAAAUAAGGACAAGGGUUGCGCUCGUUACGGGACUUAACCCAACAUUUCACAACACGAGCUGACGACAGCCAUGCAGCACCUGUCUCUGCGUUCCCGAAGGCACUAAGGUAUCUCUACCAAAUUCGCAGGAUGUCAAGAGUAGGUAAGGUUCUUCGCGUUGCAUCGAAUUAAACCACAUGCUCCACCGCUUGUGCGGGCCCCCGUCAAUUCAUUUGAGUUUUAACCUUGCGGCCGUACUCCCCAGGCGGUCGACUUAUCGCGUUAACUUCGCCACAAAGUGCGCUAGGCACCCAACGGCUGGUCGACAUCGUUUACGGCGUGGACUACCAGGGUAUCUAAUCCUGUUUGCUACCCACGCUUUCGCACCUCAGUGUCAGUGUCAGUCCAGAAGGCCGCCUUCGCCACUGGUAUUCCUCCCGAUCUCUACGCAUUUCACCGCUACACCGGGAAUUCUACCUUCCUCUCCUGCACUCUAGCUUGACAGUUCCGGAUGCCGUUCCCAGGUUGAGCCCGGGGCUUUCACAACCGGCUUAUCAAGCCACCUACGCGCGCUUUACGCCCAGUAAUUCCGAUUAACGCUUGCACCCUCCGUAUUACCGCGGCUGCUGGCACGGAGUUAGCCGGUGCUUCUUCUGCGAGUGAUGUCUUUCCUAGCGGGUAUUAACCGCUAGGCGUUCUUCCUCGCUGAAAGUGCUUUACAACCCGAGGGCCUUCUUCACACACGCGGCAUGGCUGGAUCAGGGUUUCCCCCAUUGUCCAAUAUUCCCCACUGCUGCCUCCCGUAGGAGUUCGGGCCGUGUCUCAGUCCCGAUGUGGCUGAUCAUCCUCUCAGACCAGCUACGGAUCGUGGCCUUGGUGAGCCGUUACCUCACCAACUAGCUAAUCCGACAUAGGCUCAUCCCAUAGCGGGAGCCGGAGCCCCCUUUCUCCCGUAGGACGUAUGC
rnacentral:rRNA from 1 species